UGGGUCCUACGGGGCGCAGCAGUGGGGAAUAUUGGACAAUGGGGGGAACCCUGAUCCAGCGACGCCGCGUGAGUGAAGAAGUAUCUCGGUAUGUAAAGCUCUAUCAGCAGGGAAGAAAGAAAUGACGGUACCUGACUAAGAAGCCCCGGCUAACUACGUGCCAGCAGCCGCGGUAAUACGUAAGGGGCAAGCGUUAUCCGGAUUUACUGGGUGUAAAGGUAGCGUAGACUGCUGAGCAAGUCUGAAGUGAAAUGCGU
rnacentral:rRNA from 1 species